GGGCCCAUGGUCUAGCUGGUUAUGACGUCGCCCUCACACGGCGGAGGUCCGGGGUUCGAGUCCCCGUGGGCCCA
rnacentral:tRNA from 2 species